GCUUUUGAUUUCUCUCCCCUUUGGAUUUGCUCUCCACGGUUUCCAUUGUUUCACGCUUUCCAUUUUCCAUUGUGACUUUUCGAUUGUGGCUUUGGAAUUUUCUCCCAUUUGGAUUUGCUCUCAUGUGAUGACUCACCGUAGGUGCACUUCAUUCCUCAUUUUGUUUAGAUACUUAUCAUGAGCUUAUCGUUUCCUAUAUGAAGCUUUUCGAUUUUUUGUGGGUGGUUUGUUGUAAUGAACCAUUUUGGUCGGGCUUUGUUGCAUUUUGAUGUUGCAUGUGCAUCAUUUAAUACCUUUUUUUGGUUUUCUAACUUAUGGCAACACAAAAGCUUAGAGCUUUGUUGAUUUUAUCAUUAGUUUAUUGUUUCCUAUACCCAGCUUUCUUGCCUUUUGAUCUUGCAUGCGCAUCAUUUAGUUCCUUUUUUGCCUAUUCUGAUUUAUCGAAACACAAAAGGUUACAUUUUUUAUUGUGAAUCCUAUUUUGUUUUUCAUUUGCUUACAUUAUUGUUUUGAAAAUUUCUUAUAUGUUUUUAUAUUUGCUUGCAUGUUGGCCGAGAACAACAAAGAAGCCGAAAACCAUAACUAGAAAGAAUGGCAGUAAACGGGGUCCCACAACCCUAGUUACAGGUUUGUUUUUGAAAUCUGUUAUACUUGCUUAAAUUUUAUUUUUUGGCAUGUUGAUGUUCGUCUCCGUUUUGCUUGUUUUGCCACAUGUUUUGUUCAUUUAUCGUUUCCUAUACCCAGCUUUGUUGCCUUUUGAUCUUGCAUUUGCAUCAUUUAGUACCUUUCUUUGGUAUGUUGAUGUUCGUCUCCGUUUUGCAUGGUUUGCCACAUGUUUUGUUCAUUUAUCGUUUCCUAUACCCAGCUUUGUUGCCUUUUGAUCUUGCAUUUGCAUCAUUUAGUACCUUUUUUUGGUGUUCUGAUGACUCACAACACAAAAGCUUACAUUUUUAUUCUGAAUGAGUGGAUGUGUUUUUGUUAUGGUAUUUGACUUUUCGCAAGCUAACAAGACAAAAGCUUAUACCUUUGUUGAUUUUAUCAUUAGUUUAAAGUUUGGUAUACACAGCUUAUCGAUUUUUAGUGGGUGGUUUGUUGUAAUCAACUAUUUUUUUGGGCUUUGUUGCGUUUUGAUGAUGCAUGUGCAUGAUUUGCAAGCUUUUUUUGGUUUUCUGAUUUAUCGCAACACAAACUUUUUAUGGAUGUCUAUGUUUGGCAUUGUUCAGAUCUGUAUCAGUGGAUUUAAUGGCUUAGACCUAUGUUCAUUUUAUCAUUACUUAAUCGUUUCCUAUACCUAGAUUUCUUGCCUUUUGAUCUUGCAUCUGCAUCAUUUAUUGUGAAUCUUGUUUUGAAUAUCGAUUUGGUUACAUUAUUGUUUGAAGUCUCAUUUAUAUUUGCUUAAAUUUUUUUGUCCAUGUUCAUGUUCAUGUUCGUUGUGCAUCUUUUGCCACAUGUUUCGGAUCAAUUAAUUUGUACUCAUGUCUAGCAAACCAAACCCCAUAUGUGAACUACCAUGUUUGACUUCUGAAUGAGUUGCUGAGAGGGUCAGCUUUGUAACUUUUUAUGGAUGUCCAUGUUUUGCAUUAGUCAGAUGGGUAUCAGUCAUUAAUCGCAAGACAAGAGCUUACAUUUUGAUUGUAAAUCCUGUUUUAUUUAUGACUUGCUUACAUUAUUGUUUUAAAAAAAAUCCUAUCAUGUUACAAACAAGGGCUUCACAAUACCUUUUUUUGGUGUUCUGAUUUAUCGCAAUACAAAAGGUUACAUUUUUAUUGUGAAUCCUGUUUUAUUUUUUAGUUGCUUACAUUAUUGUUUUAAUAAAUUCUUAUAUGUUUUUAUUUGCUUGCAUGUUGCCUGAGAACAACAAAGAAGCUGAAAAGGAAAACUAGAAAGAACGGCAAUCAACGGUAUGUUUUCCUAUACGCAACUUUUUAUCUUUCGUUGUUGGUUUGUUGUAAUCAACCAUUUUUGUGGGCCUUUGUUGCAUUUUGAUCUUGCAUGUGCAUCAUUUACUACCUAAUUUGGUUUUUUGAUGUAUCGCAAGACAAAAGCUUACAUUUUUAAAAACCUUGGUUUGCCAUGUUUGCCAUGUUUGAGUUUUGAAUCAGUUGUGAGACAAACAACUUCAUAACCUUUUUUGGAUUUCCAAGUUGCCCAUAAUUCAUAUCUGUUUAAGUGGAUACAUCAGAAAAAGCUUACAACUUUGUUCAUUUUAUCAUUAGUUUAUCCUUUCCUAUACCCAGCUUCCAAGCUUUUUGAUGCUACAUGUACAUCAUGUGGUACCCUUUCUAUGGGUUCAAUUUUAUCUCAGCACAGAGGCUUACAUUUUUAUUGUGAAUUCUAUUUUUAAUAUCGAUUUGGUUACAUUAUUGUUUGAAGUCUCAUUUAUAUUUGCUUAAUUUUUUUUGUCCAUGUUCAUGUUCAUGUCCGUUGUGCAUCUUUUGCCACAUGUUUCAGAUCAAUUAAUUUGUACUCGUGUCUAGCAAACAAAACCACAUAUGUGAACUGUCAAGUUUGACUUCAGAAUGAGUUGUUGAGAGGUCAGCUUUAUAACUUUUAUGGAUGUCCAUCUUUUGCAUUGGUCAGAUGGGUAUCAGUCAUUAAUCGCAAGACAAGAGCUUACAUUUUGAUUGUAAAUCCUUUUUUAUUUUUGACUUGCUUACAUUAUUGUUUUAAAAAAAUCUUAUCAUGUUACAAACAAGGGCUUCACAGUACCUUUUUUUGGUGUUCUGAUUUAUCGCAAUACAAAAGGUUACAUUUUCAUUGUGAAUCCUGUUUUAUUUUGGACUCAUGUCUAGCAAACAAAACCACAUAUGUGAACUGCCAUGUUUGACUUCUGAAUGAGUUGCUGAGAGGUCAGCUUUGUAACUUUUAUGGAUGUCCAUCUUUUGCAUUGGUCAGAUGGGUAUCAAUCAUUAAUCGCAAGAAAAGAGCUUACAUUUUGAUUGUAAAUCCUUUUUUAUUUUUGACUUGCUUACAUUAUUGUUUUAAAAAAAUCUUAUCAUGUUACAAACAAGGGCUUCACAGUACCUUUUUUUGGUGUUCUGAUUUAUCGCAAUACAAAAGGUUACAUUUUCAUUGUGAAUCCUGUUUUAUUUUGGAGUUGCUUACAUUAUUGUUUUAAUAAAUUCUUAUAUGUUUUUAUUUGCUUGCAUGUUUCCUGAGAAAAACAAAGAAACUGAAAAGGAAAACUAGAAAGAACGGCAGUCAACGGUUGGCAAGUAGUAUAGUAACGUACAUUUUAAAGCUUCAUAUCAAUGCUGACGUAGUUAUCCAGGGCUCAUCAAAUUGGAUGGCAACAACAUGAUUUAUAGUAGCAUUUUGUGUUGACAAGAACAACAUUGAAGUUCCAUUGACUUACCAUAGACAAUGGAGGUCAUAUUACCCAACUUAUGUUUUAUUUGACUAUAAUGGAAGCAAGCAUUUUGUUAGGCUGCGCAAAUAUGACACACGAUACUUUUUUGCUGAUGGGCUGAAAGAGUUUAUAAGAGCCCACGACAUUAAUGACAGUGUCAUUAUCCGGUUUUUUGCUCCCUCAAAAGAUACUUAUUUCGACGUUGACGUCAUGGGACCUAUCCAUAGACAGACACGUGGAAGGUCGGUUGUUACAACUAGAAGGCACAUCUUUAUAGCUGAUGUCACACAAGAGAUGAUGGAACACAACAACCCUUUGGUUCUUCCAGCAGCAGCUUUAAAUUUUUUGUUUGGAUCAAAAAAAUAUAUUCUUGUUCAACGUGGCUAUGACAUACGUAACCAAUGGCAUAUCACCGUGCAUAAUGGUUUACCAUCUGUUGCAGAACCAUGGUUCCAAUACCUCUCUAAAAAUAAUUUAAUGGCCGGAGAUGAAGUCGUGUUCUUCUUCAGGUUUGACGAACAUGUAUGGGAGGUCAUAUUUAGGAAUCAAGUUAUAUGGGAUGAGGACCUCUCCAAUUGAAGACCAUGCCUACAGACACUGACUUUUUUUUUGUUUAUUUUCAUUUAUAUUUUGAUUAAUGUUGUUAAUCAAAUAACUUAGGGUAUCAAACAAUUUCUUUCACUUUCUACUGCACAGUUAAUGGUUAUGAACUUAUUUUGUUGGCUUAUAUGUAUUACUUUGUUCAUUCCAAUA